rnacentral:rRNA from 1 species
UACGUAGGGUGCAAGCGUUAAUCGGAAUUACUGGGCGUAAAGCGUGCGCAGGCGGUUCUGUAAGACAGGUGUGAAAUCCCCGGGCUUAACCUGGGAACUGCAUUUGUGACUGCAUAGCUAGAGUACGGUAGAGGGGGAUGGAAUUUCGCGUGUAGCAGUGAAAUGCGUAGAUAUCAAGAGGAACACCUGAGGUGAAGACGGGUUGCUGGGCCAACACUGACGCUGAUGCGCGAAAGCCAGGGGAGCAAACGGG